UACGGAGGGAGCUAGCGUUAUUCGGAAUUAUUGGGCGUAAAGCGCACGUAGGCGGCUUUGUAAGUUAGAGGUGAAAGCCUGGAGCUCAACUCCAGAAUUGCCUUUAAGACUGCAUCGCUUGAAUCCAGGAGAGGUGAGUGGAAUUCCGAGUGUAGAGGUGAAAUUCGUAGAUAUUCGGAAGAACACCAGUGGCGAAGGCGGCUCACUGGACUGGUAUUGACGCUGAGGUGCGAAAGCGUGGGGAGCAAACAGG
rnacentral:rRNA from 1 species